CUUUUAAAAAUUCUAUUUAUGUUAAACAUAAAUUCAAGUGUUUGUGAUAUGUAGCCAAGACAUAAUUUCUAUGUAAUUUUAAACAUGUAUGUUAUUUUGUUUCUSUAAGUAAUGAUGUAAUUAAACAUUGAAGGGGUGAAUUAGUUUUUGACCUAGUCAGUCCCUAGACUGUCUCAUCAUGCAGGUACAUGACUGCUCACCUGAGAAAAAAGAAAGAAGGUGGCUUUUUUCAGGAGCCCUGUAGAAUGUUGAUGGAAAUCAGAUUUCUAUUAGAAGAGAAGGCUCAGGUGUCCAAAACUCCUCCUCCUUAAGCAAAAUUACAGCACAGAUUUCUCAGAGAGUUGAAAUUAUUUUGAGAUACACCAUCCAACACUAGAUGCUAAUAUAAUAAGAAAGCAAGAAAAAUCAUACAGCUUUAUGCAGUACCUAGUGUUGUAAGGGUAUGAGCAGCUCUGAGAGUUUUCAAUCUGACUGUGACACUUAUGGUUUGGGAAGAGUUACUGUAUUUGUCCAAAAGCUCUGGCUAUUCACAGUCUUCUUGACUGAGGAGCAAAAGCAAAGGGCCAGUGCCAGCUUGAUUUCAGCUGUGUGUAAUCAGCUUUUAGUUACUUUCCAAUGUGCACUGAGAAGUUCAGCAAACAGGAAAUUGAAAUGAGUUUUCCCACCUUAAAUAUUGACGAAUGUUUCUUCUUUCCCAGGAUUAUACUUCUCCCAGAUUUGAACCUUAAAUACCACAUGAGGAUUUUUAGUUUUCUCCAAACACACAGAUAUCUACCAAACGAGUGAGCAGAGGAUCCUUGCUGCCUAUCAGGAGUAGUGAACCUUGCAUCAUCCUUUUAGAGCAGAUCUUCCGUGGCAGGAGAAAUGUAAGACAAGUGACAGAGGUCAAUACAACAYGUUCACCAGCUGGGACAGGAGAGCUCAGGCAAUGAAUCACCAAUGAAAGAGUGAUGACUCACUAGGGGAAUCCAAAACAUGCUUUCUCCUUCAUAUGUGAGUCUGCAGUAGCCAUCCAUGCUCCAAAGAGGGAGAAAACCGGGCUGCAUUUUAAUAUUCAUUUCCACAAAGCUGAGUCAAAACUGCUUGGUAAUUUUCCUCUCAGUUUCCUGCAUUUUCUACCAGCCUGUUGAAUUUUAAGAAAAAUAUCUCACGCUUCAAGUUGCUCCUCUGUUACAUCAACAAAACUCUGGGAAAAUUACUAUUUCAAAGCUAAUUUGUAUUAAUACUUUUCAUUUAAUUUUGUGAACAUUAUUUUAAAUGCAAAAUGAGUCUUUCAUGUUCCA